GAUGAACGCUGGCGGCGUGCCUAAUACAUGCAAGUCGAGCGAACGGACGAGAAGCUUGCUUCUCUGAUGUUAGCGGCGGACGGGUGAGUAACACGUGGAUAACCUACCUAUAAGACUGGGAUAACUUCGGGAAACCGGAGCUAAUACCGGAUAAUAUUUUGAACCGCAUGGUUCAAAAGUGAAAGACGGUCUUGCUGUCACUUAUAGAUGGAUCCGCGCUGCAUUAGCUAGUUGGUAAGGUAACGGCUUACCACGGCAACGAUGCAUAGCCGACCUGAGAGGGUGAUCGGCCACACUGGAACUGAGACACGGUCCAGACUCCUACGGGAGGCAGCAGUAGGGAAUCUUCCGCAAUGGGCGAAAGCCUGACGGAGCAACGCCGCGUGAGUGAUGAAGGUCUUCGGAUCGUAAAACUCUGUUAUUAGGGAAGAACAUAUGUGUAAGUAACUGUGCACAUCUUGACGGUACCUAAUCAGAAAGCCACGGCUAACUACGUG
rnacentral:rRNA from 1 species